rnacentral:rRNA from 1 species
UCGUGCGAACUUGGUAGAGAUACCUUGGUGCCUUCGGAACGCACAGACAGGUGCUGCAUGGCUGUCGUCAGCUCGUGUUGUGAAAUGUUGGGUUAAGUCCCGUAACGAGCGCAACCCUUGUCCUUAUUUGCCAGCGGGUAAUGCCGGGAACUCUAAGAAGACUGCCGGUGACAAACCGGAGGAAGUGGGACGACGUCAAGUCAUCAUGGCCCUUACGGGUAGGGCUACACACGUGCUACAAUGGCCGGUACAAAGGGUUGCGAAGCCGCGAGGUGGAGCUAAUCCCGAAAAGCUGGUCUCAGUCCGGAUCGGAGUCUGCAACUCGACUCCGUGAAGUCGGAAUCGCUAGUAAUCGUGAAUCAGAAUGUCACGGUGAAUACGUUCCCGGGCCUU